AUUAGAUGAGCCUAUAUUAGAUUAGCUAGUUGGUGGAGUAAUAGCCUACCAAGGCAAUGAUCUAUAGCUGAUCUGAGAGGAUGAUCAGCCACACUGGAACUGAGAUACGGUCCAGACUCCUACGGGAGGCAGCAGUGGGGAAUAUUGGACAAUGGGCGAAAGCCUGAUCCAGCCAUGCCGCAUGAGUGAAGAAGGCCUUUGGGUUGUAAAGCUCUUUUAGUGAGGAAGAUAAUGACGGUACUCACAGAAGAAGUCCUGGCUGACUCCGUGCCAGCAGCCGCGGUAAUACGGAGAGGGCUAGCGUUAUUCGGAAUUAUUGGGCGUAAAGGGCGCGUAGGCUGAUUAAUAAGUUAAAAGUGAAAUCCCGAGGCUUAACCUUGGAAUUGCUUUUAAAACUAUUAAUCUAGAGAUUGAAAGAGGAUUGAGGAAUUCCUGAUGUAGAGGUAAAAUUCGUAAAUAUUAGGAGGAACACCAGUGGCGAAGGCGUCUAUCUGGUUCAAAUCUGACGCUGAGGCGCGAAGGCGUGGGGAGCAAACAGGAUUAGAUACCCUGGUAGUCCACGCUGUAAACGAUGAAUGUUAAAUAUGGGAAGUUUA
rnacentral:rRNA from 1 species